UGGUGUGGGUGGGAAGGGAGGAGGCGGGAUACUGGGCUAGAUGGGCCUAUUGGUCUGUUCCCGCAGGAUAGUCCCUAUGUCCCGGUCCCUGAACUUCAUGUCACUAGGUCAGCAGCAAUGCAGGGGCCUUGUGAUGCCGUAAUUUUCCUGGCUCUCACCACCCUUCUAAUCCCCCGGCGCAGCUCCAUUGGACGGGAGCUGCACGCCCAGCUCAGGACAUCGCCCUGGCCCUGUGGCUUCAUCCCUAGGAAUCCUAGAAUCAUGGAAUAUCAGGGUUGGAAGGGACCUCAGGAGGUCAUCUAGUCCAACCCCCUGCUCAAAGCAGGACCAAUCCCCAACUAAACCAAACACAAAGGGCUGGGCGGCCACACAAUGGGGAGGAAAUCCUCCGCCCUGGCGUGCUUCCCCCCAGCCAUCGCAGGCCCGGUUUGCUGGAACAACACCAGCCUUGAGGCAGGCUCAGGGAUUGGAUCCGCCUCCCACACUCCCCAGGGAUCUCAGCUGGUGUAAAUCACCCACGACUCCAAAGGCGCAGAGCCAGCUUACACCCGCCGGGGAUCUGGCCCCAUUGACUCCAGCGGCGCAUCGCCCAUUUACACGGGGGCAAAAGGAAAACUGGCAAAGGGAAUGGACACCAACGACUGGACAACGGAGCCAGCGCGACCGCAGGGGAAGGAAGCCGGUCACCCGAAAUAAGUGCUUUGCUGGGGAACUCUGAGCUGGUUGACUGGGCAGGAAAUGACCUGGCAUUGAGAUUGGAUUAACAUCAGCUCCAAACCCACGACCACAAAUGUGGUGACUUGCUCACGCUGGGUAAGUACCCUCACAGGGAGCACAGAAGCUGAUGGCUGGACGGGAAGUCUGGAUACAUUCCAAUUAGAAAAUAGGGCACGUAUUUUUAACAGUGAGGGGGAAUACCCAUUGGAACAGAUUACCGAGGGAAGGGGCGGCUUCUCCAUCUCUGACGUCUUCGGAUCCAGACUGGAUGCCUUUCUAGAAAACAUGCUUUAGCCAAACCCAGAUACCGCACACACCCCGACAGAGAUCGGGGCCCCUGUUGUGCCAGGUGCUGCACAGACCCUGACCGAGAUCAGGGCCCCCAUUGUGCCAGGUGCUGCACAGACGCACAAUGAGAGACAAUUCCUGCCCUCACAACUAAAAAACUAAAACAUUUUUCUGUGGGUUUUUGAAAAUUUUUGAGAAAAUGAGCUUUAAAAAAAAUUGUGAAACACAACAUCAGUUUCCAAACAGUUCGCGUGGCUAUAGAUCAGCGUCUUUCAACCUUUUUAAAUUUGUGGACCCAUAAAAUUUUCAAAAGGAGGUCUGGACCCCUUUUGAAAUCUUACACAUAGUCUGUGGAGCUGCAGGGGUCCGAGGACCACAGGUUGAAAACCACAGCUAUAGAUCAGUGGCUCUCAACCUUUCCAGGUGACUGUACCCCUUCCAAGAGUAUGAUUUGUCUUGUGUACCCCCAAGUUACACCUCACUUAAAAACCACUUGCUUACAAAAUCAGACAUAAAAAUACAAGUGUCCCAGCACAGUUUUAGAAUACUGACAAAUUGCUGAUUUUCUCAUUUUUACCAUACAAUUAUAAAGUAAAUCAAUUGGAAUAUAAAUAUUGUACUUACA
ensembl:lncRNA